UCUGUUUCAUGAUAGCCCCAACCUCC
rnacentral:piRNA from 1 species